UACGGAGGAUGCGAGCGUUAUCCGGAUUUAUUGGGUUUAAAGGGUGCGUAGGCGGCGAGUUAAGUCAGCGGUAAAAGCCCGGGGCUCAACCCCGGCGAGCCGUUGAAACUGGCGGGCUGGAGUUGGAGAGAAGUACGCGGAAUGCGCGGUGUAGCGGUGAAAUGCUUAGAUAUCGCGCAGAACCCCGAUUGCGAAGGCAGCAUACCGGCGCUCAACUGACGCUCAUGCACGAAAGCGUGGGUAUCGAACAGG
rnacentral:rRNA from 1 species